rnacentral:rRNA from 1 species
UACGUAGGGGGCAAGCGUUGUCCGGAUUUAUUGGGUUUAAAGGGUGCGUAGGCGGUCUAUUAAGUCAGCGGUGAAAUACUCCAGCUUAACUGGAGGGGUGCCAUUGAUACUGAUGGACUUGAGUCAAGUCGAGGUAGGCGGAAUUGACGGUGUAGCGGUGAAAUGCUUAGAUAUCGUCAAGAACACCAAUAGUGAAGACAGCUUACUGGGCUUAAACUGACGCUGAGGCACGAAAGUGUGGGGAUCAAACAGG